UACGUAGGGUGCAAGCGUUAAUCGGAAUUACUGGGCGUAAAGCGAGCGCAGGCGGUUAUGUAAGACAGAUGUGAAAUCCCAGGGCUCAACCUUGGAACUGCAUUUGUGACUGCAUGGCUAGAGUGCGUCAGAGGGGGGUGGAACUCCACGUGUAGCAGUGAAAUGCGUAGAGAUGUGGAAGAACACCGAUGGCGAAGGCAGCCCCCUGGGAUGACACUGACGCUCAUGCUCGAAAGCGUGGGGAGCAAAC
rnacentral:rRNA from 1 species